UGAACACAUGAGAGAGACUUAUUGGUGAAAACCCCUCGGAGCACCACCAGUCAAAAGUGAGUCGUGAAGAUGAUGCGAAGGAUUGGCACGAACAAGCCCGACUUCAAAGGUCAUAAGAAUGACAAAAGGGAAGAUUGGAUUAGUUUGAUAGAUCAGGUCGUUGAGUCCAAAAUGCAUGUCAUGACCAUUAAGACUAGUUAUUGAAAAAAAUGAAAAAAAAGGAAAGAGAAAAAAAACUCUUCCUUCUGUCCUUCCGAAAGGGGGCAUUUCUUGUUAAUAUUCAUUUCUUUGCAUUAUUGUGUCCUUCACUCUGAGUUAGUUCUUGUCAAAACAAGUAAGAAAAGAUUUCAAAAUCUGCUACCAGCUUUUCAGUUGCACAAAGUAAAUUUGGCCAGCACACUCAAUUGUUAUAGUCAACAUGCCUUAAGGAUUCAUGCAAAAGCUCCUCCCCAAGACUCUUGUUAGCCUACUUGGCAAAAUCAAAGAUAACUUGUGAUUCCCUCUGACAGAUAAAUUGUUCAAAAAGCAGGAAGUCAUUCAAAGAUAUCGAAAAAUGUCACCUAAGGAAAGAUCUCCAGUUGGGAUAAGGUUGAUUGAGCCAUAAAUACAAAUGGUACUGGUGUGAAACAAUUAGAGAUGGUGCAGAACAAAAGUCUUUUGAGACCGACUAAAGCUGAUUGAGCAGAAGCCAAGCUGCCCAAGACUCAAGGCCACAAACCGACCACCAUUUUCAAAACUGAACAAUUUUUCUUUGUGUGAAAUAGGAACAAAGCAGUGCAAGGAAAGUGGUUAAAAAUAAAAAAAACGAAAAAAAGAAGAAAAUAAAAGAAGAGAAGAGCCGACAAAGGGAAGUUUCUCAAAUCUUUGCCUUUAUUUGUCUUGCUAUUGUGAAUAAAAUCUCGCCAUUGAUCUUUAUAUUUUUUCCUCCUAGGAUAAAAAGUCCCAGUCUGAUGGAUCUUCUCCCAAUAAAUCUUAGUCUGAUGAAUUUUUCUCCUAAGAUAGAAAACCUAGUCUGAUGAAUUUUCUCGUAGGAUAGAAAUCUUAGUCUGAUGAAUCUUUCUCCUAAGAUAACAAAGAUAGACCUAGUCUAAUGAAUCUUCUCCUAGGAUCAAAAUCUUAGUCUGAUGAAUUUUUCUCCUAAGAUAGAAGACCUAGUCUGAUAAACUUUCUCCUAGGAUAGAAAUCUUAGUCUGAUGAAUCUUUCUCCUAAGAUAGAAAACCUAGUCUGAUGAACUUUCUCCUAGGAUAUAAAUCUUAGUCUGAUGAAUCUUUCUCCUAAGAUAACAAAAAGGGAACCUAGUCUGAUGAACUUUCUCCUAGGAUUAAAAUCUUAGUCUGAUGAAUCUUUCUCCUA
rnacentral:lncRNA from 1 species